rnacentral:rRNA from 1 species
AUACGGAGGGUGCAAGCGUUGUUCGGAAUUAUUGGGCGUAAAGCGCGUGUAGGCGGCUUCCUAAGUCUGAUGUGAAAGCCCCGGGCUCAACCUGGGAAGUGCAUUGGAAACUGGGAGACUUGAGUACGGGAGAGGGUAGUGGAAUUCCUAGUGUAGGAGUGAAAUCCGUAGAUAUCAGGAGGAACACCGGUGGCGAAGGCGGCUACCUGGACCGAUACUGACGCUGAGACGCGAAAGCGUGGGGAGC